rnacentral:rRNA from 1 species
AAACCCAAAGGAUUUGACGGUGUCCCAUCCAUCUAGAGGAGCCUGUUCUAUAAUCGAUAAUCCCCGCUAUACCUCACCACUCCUAGCCUACCAGUCUGUAUACCUCCGUCGAAAGCCUACCAUAUGAAUGUUUUUAGUUGGCACAACGAUGCCCAUCAACACGUCAGGUCAAGGUGCAGCUCACGUAGUGGAAAGCAAUGGGCUACAAUUUCUAAAUUAGAACAAACGAAAAACUAUUUGAAACAAUAAUUUGAAGGUGGAUUUAUUAGUAAAAAGAAAAUAGAGAGUUCUUUUUAACCCGGCCCUGGGACGUGUACAAACCGCCCGUCACCCUCUUCAAAUUACUUAUUUUUAGUUUAUAACCACACCCCUUAUUCUUAGAAGAGGUAAGUGUAACAUGGUAAGUGUCUGGAAGUGUACU